ACCUUCACCAUCAGCUGCUCCAUCCAGCCACAGUACCCAGGAGGCUCCUUCCAGCUCGCCUUCACCUCCUCCAUCACAUCACACAACUACACCCAGCCAGCUGUCAAUCACUCUGCCCACUUCCUGUUUCCUGCUGCAGAGCCCGCCCACCAAGGAAGCUACAGCUGUGUUUAUCACCUCCAUGUUUUUUCUCAUGACUUCACCUCUGAGAGCCGUCGGCUGUCUCUCACUGUCUCAGAUCCAACAGGUCUUCUCAUCAAAGUGGUCGUCCUGCCGCUGACUCUGCUGUUGGUGAUCGCUGCCCUUUGUUUCUACUAUAAGGCCAGCAGGGGGCAGAAGCCGGGCAGGCAGGAGGACAUUGAGCUGGAUUAUUAUAACGUGGGUGUUUCUGCAGCUGAAGGAGGGUCGACUGAAGAGGAAGGAGCUCAGGGAGCAGAGUAGGACCUCCAAGGAGCUCAUCUCAGCUGCCUCACAACCCCCCAUCAGCUCAGUCAAGGAUUUUACACUUUUAUACUGAUGUUCCCUUUAAAGGUUAAGUGUGUAAGUUCUAGUGACAUAUAGUGCUGACUUUCCCUCCCCUAUCCAUGUGAGCGGUAU